GUUAAAACACUAACAAAGCUUCUACUUGCUUCUCAAAGCUUUGAUGGUGUAGGCGAAGUCCGCAUGUGUUUUUGGCUUUGUAUCUUCUAACAAGGAAACACUACUUCGGCUUUGAA
rnacentral:sRNA from 1 species